UACGUAGGGUGCGAGCGUUAAUCGGGAUUACUGGGCGUAAAGCGUGCGCAGGCGGUUUUGUAAGCCCGAUGUGAAAUCCCCGGGCUCAACCUGGGAAUGGCAUUUGGGACUGCAAGGCUUGAGUGCGGCAGAGGAGACUGGAAUUCCUGGUGUAGCAGUGAAAUGCGUAGAUAUCAGGAGGAAUACCGAUGGCGAAGGCAGGUCUCUGGGCUGACACUGACGCUCAUGCACGAAAGCGUGGGGAGCAAACAGG
rnacentral:rRNA from 1 species